rnacentral:rRNA from 1 species
AAGUUUCAACAACGGAUCUCUUGGCUCUCGCACCGAGGAAGAACGCAGCGAAAUGCGAUAAGUAAUGUGAAUUGCAGAAUUCAGUGAAUCAUUGAAUCUUGAACGCACCUUGCGCUCCUUGGUAUUCCUUGGAGCAUGCCUGUUUGAGUAAUCAU